rnacentral:lncRNA from 1 species
CUUAGUAUUAUGCUAGUAGUAGCCCCUGUACCUUGACUUGCGUGGAAUUUAUGGACAUUGUCUGUUGUCUGUUGUUGCUGUUGCUGUGGUCGUUUCUUCCACUGCUUUGGAUUGGGUUAUUGGCUGGGAACCUGUAUUUGGGGCGGUGGGUGUUGAGUCCGGUGGUGUUUGCCCCCUAAUUGAGUAUAGUUUUGUUUCGUGAGUAUUCC